rnacentral:rRNA from 1 species
CCUACGGGUGGCAGCAGUGAGGAAUAUUGGUCAAUGGACGAGAGUCUGAACCAGCCAAGUCGCGUGAAGGAUGACUGCCCUAUGGGUUGUAACCUUCUUUUAUAAAGGAAUAAAACGAGGCACGUGUGCCUUUUUGCAUGUAUUUUAUGAUUAAGGAUCGGCUAACUCCGUGCCAGCAGCCGCGGUAAUACGGAGGAUCCGAGCGUUAUCCGGAUUGAUUGGGUUUAAAGGGGGCGUAGAUGGGUUGUUAAGUUAGUUGUGAAAGUUUGCGGCUCAACCGUAAAAUUGCAAUUGAUACUGGCAGUCUUGAGUACAGUAGAGGUAGGCGGAAUGCGUGGUGUAGCGGUGAAAUGCUUAGAUAUCACGAAGAACCCCGAUUGCGAAGGCAGCUUACUAAACUGUGACUGACAUUGAUGCUCGAAAGUGUGGGUAUCAAACAGGAUUAGAUACCCGUGUAGUC